CAGACAAAAUGGCGGAUGCCCAUGCCGUUCGUGAGAAAUUUACGCAUGGAACUAAUUACUUGAUUACGCGUUCUAACACAAUUUCCUUCAAAGUUACGAAAGUUUUACUUUUAGAAAAUUAACAUGGCAGGUGAAAACGACGGUGACGUGUACGAAGAAGGGGAGGGGGAGUUGGUGGACUGGCAGUUACCGGUUGCCUUCAACGAAAAUAGACACACGGAAAAGAUUGAAGGUUCUCGUCCAGUAACUGAAACAUGGAGGAUGAAAGAAAGGAUGAAGACUGUCAGUGUGGCUCUCGUCAUGUGUCUCAACGUUGGUGUUGACCCUCCGGAUGUAGUGAAGACAACUCCCUGUGCCAGACUGGAAUGCUGGAUAGAUCCUCUCUCCACAAGCCCCCAAAAGGCCUUAGAAUCUAUUGGAGGCAAUCUACAGAAACAGUAUGAGCGAUGGCAACCCCGAGCUCGAUACAAACAGAGCCUCGACCCAACAGUGGAUGAGGUCAAGAAACUCUGUACAUCUCUCAGAAGGAAUGCCAAGGAGGAGAGAGUCCUGUUUCACUAUAACGGACAUGGUGUACCUCGACCCACCGUAAAUGGAGAAAUAUGGGUGUUUAACAAGAGUUACACGCAAUACAUCCCACUGUCAGUGUACGACCUGCAGACCUGGAUGGGGAGCCCUUCCAUCUACGUCUUUGACUGUUCCAAUGCAGGCAUCAUUGUGGAGUCUUUCAGACAGUUCUCUCAACAGAGAGACCAGGAAAUCGAUAGUGAAACCACAAAUGGCAGUCAGUGGUACAGUGGCCAGGGUCCCCCCUCCUCCAACAAGCACUGCAUACAACUAGCAGCUUGUGGGGCCAAGGAACUGCUGCCCAUGAAUCCAGAACUACCUGCUGACCUCUUCACAUCAUGUCUAACUACACCAAUAAAAAUAGCUCUUAGAUGGUAUGUUCUUCAGAAUACAAGCAAGCUGGUGCCCGGUCUCACACUGGAAAUGGUUGAUAAGAUCCCAGGUCAGCAGAAUGACCGGCGGACAAUGUGGGGUGAGCUGAACUGGAUCUUCACAGCCAUCACUGACACCAUUGCCUGGAACAUUCUCCCUAAAGAGUUGUUCCAGAAGUUAUUUCGCCAGGACCUGCUUGUGGCGAGUUUGUUCCGGAACUUCCUGCUUGCCGAGCGUAUUAUGCGUUCCUACAACUGUACCCCAAUCUCUAGUCCGAAACUACCUCCAACCUAUCAGCACCCCAUGUGGCAAGCAUGGGAUCUUGCUCUAGACCUUUGUCUUUGCCAACUGCCGCGAGUCAAUGAGGAAGAUGGGUCAGCAUUCAAGCACAGCCCUUUCUUUGCUGAGCAGCUGACUGCUUUUCAGGUUUGGCUGUCAUUUGGAAGGGAAGAUCGCAGGCCCCCUGAGCAACUGCCUAUUGUACUACAGGUGCUGCUAAGUCAAGUUCAUCGACUGCGGGCCCUUGAUCUGCUGGGCAAGUUCCUGGACCUCGGCCCCUGGGCUGUGAGUCUGGCGCUGUCAGUUGGCAUCUUCCCCUAUGUGUUGAAGCUCCUCCAGAGCUCGGCGAGAGAGCUUCGACCGCUACUGGUGUUCAUUUGGGCCAAAAUACUGGCUGUGGAUAGUUCCUGCCAGGCCGACCUUGUGAAGGACAAUGGCCACAAGUAUUUCCUGUCUAUACUGGCUGAUCCGUAUUUACCGGCUGAGCACCGGACGAUGGCAGCCUUUGUCCUGGCAAUGAUAGUGAAUGAAUACCAGCAGGGUCAGGAAGCUGCCUUACAAGGGGGAGUCAUAUCAGUAUGCCUGGAACAGCUGGGCGACCGUAAUUCCACCCUCCGACAGUGGCUGGCUCUCUGUCUAGGAAAGGUGUGGACUAACUUUGACAAUGCGAGGUGGUGCGGCGUGAGAGAUAGCGCACAUGAGAAGCUCUACAAACUACUGCUGGAUCCAGUACCGGAGGUUCGUGCAGCUGCUGUGUUUGCCCUAGGGGCAUUCAUAAGCAACAGGUCUGAAAGAAGUGACCAUGCAAUCCAGAUCGACCUGGGGGUCGGGAUGAGAUUGGCAGAGGUGGCUUCUGAUGGCAGUCCCCUGGUCAGGAAGGAGUUGGCUGUGGCUUUUGGUGGUCUAGUGGUGCAGUUUGAAGGGCAGUUCGCUGCUGUAGCCUCUCAGAUGUUGGAGGAGGAGAAGCUGAAGGAUCGCAACACGCCGAUCGUGUCAGCCGAGGCCCCCGGUGGGUGGAAUGUUGUCACCCCUGGCACUGAUGGCUUGCUCUCUCCUAUGAGUGCAGCUGGCAUCCGGCGCAGUGCUUCUCGCGGUAGCCUGAAGGGCAUGCUAUCCUCCACUCCCACCACCGUGACGUCCCUACAGAGCUACCCCAGCAGUAGCUCUACCAGCGUGGAGAGUGCCGGCAGCCAUGACGGUCUGCGGAGAGACUCCUCGUCAUCCUCCCUCAGUGGCCUGGCCUUCAAGAACGUGCACAUGUGUGUGUGGCGCUCGCUGCUGCUGCUGGCCAUGGACCCGCACACAGAGGUGGCCGACAUGGCCAAGAAGAUUGUCAACUCUGUCAGACUCAGGGCAUCGCUGUGUGCCAAGCCCAAGAUGGUGAUUCAGAACAGUCAGAUGUCUCACUCCGCUCCCUGCAGCCCCUCAAACAAACCACCAGCCAACAUGAUGAUUGGAACACCUCCCCAGAAUCUGGACAUGAUAAACAGUGUGGAUGAAGUUCGGAACAGAGACAACCAGUCCCCUGGGCGGACCAGCAUGCUCGUUACCCCGGUCCGAGGCUCCGGGCAGGGCGCACAGCCCCCCCACCAACCAUACUCCAUGCAGUUCUCGCGACACAGGAAGAUAUUCGAUAAAGGCCCAACACCAAUUGAGGAGAAGGAGGAGGAAGUUCCUACCAUCACCACCACCACCGCCGCCAGUCCGCCGAACUUGGGCGCUGUUUCCACCGAGUUUUUCCAGUGGAGUUUUCGUCACUUCGCACAGCCGGUUCACAGAAUGAGGGAGAUGAGUGACCCGGAGAGUGGGCUGCACCACCAGCGGGAGUUCCGCUUCCUGCGCAACUCGCAUGUCCGCAGAGACGCACGCGAAGACCAGAACAGAGCUGGUUUUAGUCGACUGGAUGACCAGAUCUUUGUGAACCGUAACCAGUUCCCUCCGUCGGUGGUCAAGUUCCACCCUUACAAGUCUCACAUAGCCGUGGCAGACAAGGAGUCUGGUGUCAGCAUCUGGAACUGGGAGCAGGGCACUAGACUCAGCUACAUCAUCAAUGACAAUCCGAAGUCCACCCGCAUCACCGCCAUGGACUAUAUCAAUGCUCAUGACAAAGCAUUGCUGAUGUGUGGAUCAGAUGAUGGUGCAGUGAGAAUCUGGCGGAAGUAUAUGGUUGAUGAUGGCAAAGGGAAGGAACUGGUGACAGCUUUUCAGGCACUGUCUGAUAUGUUGCCGCUAUCUAGAGGUUCAGGGCUGGUGUGUGAGUGGGAGCAGGACUCCGGGAUGCUGCUGGCUUCAGGGGAUGUCAGAGUCAUUCGACUCUGGGACACGCAGAAAGAGAUGAAGUUACAGGAUAUUCCAACCAGCGCCGACAGUUGUGUGACGAGUCUGGCGUGCGACUCUAUGGGCAGAUCACUGCUGAUUGCUGGCUGUGGAGACGGGACUGUUCGCCUCUUUGACAGGAGACUUGCUCCCACGGAGUGCCGAGUGAUGACCCUGAAGGAACACUCCGGCUGGGUGGUCAACGUACACCUACAGAAGGGAACAGAAGGAAAGAUCAUCAGUGCCAGUGCUGGCGGUGACAUCAAGAUGUGGGACCCGCGAUUUACAGAGUCAGUGCGGAGCUUCUCCACCCAGUCCAGCAUUACAUCCAUGGCAGUCCACCCUCGGGCUGAUGUUAUAGCAUGUGGGUCGGUGAACCAGUCCAUCAGUGUGUACAACCAGAGUGGGGACAGCCUCAGUCUCAUCAAGUACCACGAGGGUUUCCUGGGCCAGCGCAUCGGCACCAUCAGCUGUCUGACCUUUCAUCCCUACUUAGUGAGACUGGCUGCUGGCAGCAAUGACGCGUUUGUCUCCGUGUACUCCAGCCCAGCCAAGAGGAGUUGACGUUAGCGAUGACUAGCAUUGAGAGAACCGUCACAUCUACUGCCACCACAGCUGCUGUGUGUUCCUGAAUGUUGUAGAGAAAGUAUGACCUCAUGUUUAGUAGGGCUCGGAUGAUACACCAACUGUUUGAUCCCCUACGUAUCAUGAUACCUUGCUCUUGAUAUGAUACGUAUCACAAUACUUGUAUGUGCUUAUAUCUGUGGUGUGUAAGCCAUUGUUUUCAUAGAAAGGAUGGCCAAAUACCUGGCACACUGACGAUUUACAGUUGAUAGUGUCAAGUGAUAGGCGCAAUGGAUGACAAUAUUUACAUUUCACCACUAGUGUCACUAAUAAUUAGUGUUUGUGGAACAGUUAUUAAAGCAAAUGUUUAAGGUAAGAAUCAAUACUUUUUACUUGGUGUAUGACUGUGAUCGAUACUUGUAUCGAGAAGUAAAAAAUCGUGAUCCACCGAUGCAUCGGUGUAUUGUCCCAUGACUAAUGUUUAGUGAUGCUUCCUAGACCUUCUAGAUGUUUGUCAAUCAAAAUCUUUAUUACACCAGUCCUGUGAUGUGACAGUUAAAACUUGAUGAAUGGACAGGAUAUGAUCUAUGUGGGGUUUAAUUAACAAGUUCCGCACAUUGCAGUUAAAACAUGUUGUACAUUACCAUGAUUACAUCAACUAAAUAUUAGCUUGUUUGAGUGCAAAAUCAGCAGUGUUGGAAGCUCUCCUAGAAUCUCCAACUCAUGAUUUGGAUAGGAGUAGUGCUGCACAUGCUUCAGGAAUGGACAGGAGUACUUCUGUCCUUUGAAAAAAAAUUGUUGGAUAGUGAAAAUUUGGAACAGAAAAACACCUCCAAUUUAAAUGAAUGUGUUGCCAUAUGAAUGAUUGUUGAACUCUGGGUUGCAUUUCUACAGUGUUUAGAUCCCUCUUAGAGACUGUAACAAUAUGAUGCACAAAGCGCUGAUUAAUCAUGAUAUCCUAGGCAAAUUGCUCAUAUAGCGACGAAGUGAAUGUUACAGAUUGCAGCAACAGCGCAUCCUCUGUGUGUUUGAAUUAUCAUGGUACCUGUGUAUGAAUUCUAUGAAAGGUCCUAGCAGUUUAUCAAGAUGAAUUGAGUAUGAUUAUAAUUUAACACAUUGUCACUACAACACACUUGAUUGUGUAUUUUCACCAAAAUCACUUUAUACCAAAGAAAUAUAAGUUUGUCGUUUUUAUCCGUUUCAUAAGGUUCACAUUUGAGCAGAAUAUCCAAGGUGUGGUUUCACUUUGGUAAUUAGUUGAAACUAGUGAAUAUGAAGGUAACAUAAGCAGUCAACACUGGGUUACCACAUCUCACUGGCAAGCAUCACAGUUUUAAUACUCUUCAUCUACUCCAGUAUAGUACACACAAUACUUAGACAGAGCUCCAGUUCAAGUUUGGGAAUUGUUCAUGGAUGGGCUUGCUGAAAUAUGUUGAUCUGACAACUUCUUCCCGAAGAUUAUGGUAUUGUUCGUUCCUUCUGUUUUGAAACUCUCCUACCCAAUAUACAGGAUUUGUUCUUUGUCAUUAUGUAUCUUCUCAAGUGUUGUUGUGAAAUUCAAGAAAAGUGUGUCGCAUUAACAGGUGCAACAACGUGAUAAACAUGAAGUGUAACUUGUAAUUCAUGAUUCUGUGCAAUAUUACAAACAUUUCACCAAUGUGUGCAGCGUCAGAACGUGUUCCGAAGUUUUGCAUGGUUUGGCUUCUGGAGUAGCUGGACAUCCAUACAUAUACACAGCGAUAGAUCAGGUUGUUUCAACAGCCAUCAAAGUCCAAGAUUUACCCUGAAAACAGGUAUUUCCACAAGAGAUGAAGCAAAGCUGUUGACAGGUGUGGCAGUGUUUAACAGGACAUGUGGCUGUUGACAGGUGUGGAAGUGUUACACAGAACAUGUGGCUGUUGACAGGUGUGGAAGUGUUACACAGAACAUGUGGCUGUUAACAGACAUUGAAGUGUUACACAGAACAUGUGGCUGUUGACAGGUGUGGAAGUGUUACAAAGAACAUGUGGCUGUUGAAAGGUGUGGAAGUGUUACACAGGACAUAUGACUGUUGACAGGUGUGGCAGUGUUUAACAGGACAUGUGGCUGUUGACAGGUGUGGAAGUGUUACACAGAACAUGUGGCUGUUGACAGGUGUGGAAGUGUUACACAGAACAUGUGGCUGUUGACAGGUGUGGAAGUGUUACAAAG
rnacentral:misc_RNA from 1 species